rnacentral:rRNA from 1 species
GUGGGGAAUAUUGAACAAUGGGCGAAAGCCUGAUCCAGCCAUGCCGCGUGUGUGAAGAAGGUCUUCGGAUUGUAAAGCACUUUAAGUUGGGAGGAAGGGCAGUAAGUUAAUACCUUGCUGUUUUGACGUUACCGACAGAAUAAGCACCGGCUAACUUCGUGCCAGCAGCCGCGGUAAUACGAAGGGUGCAAGCGUUAAUCGGAAUUACUGGGCGUAAAGCGCGCGUAGGUGGUUUUGUAAGUUGGAGGUGAAAUCCCCGGGCUCAACCUGGGAACUGCCUCCAAAACUGCAUGACUAGAGUACGGUAGAGGGUAGUGGAAUUUCCUGUGUAGCGGUGAAAUGUGUAGAUAUAGGAAGGAACACCAGUGGCGAAGGCGACUACCUGGACUGAUACUGACACUGAGGUGCGAAAGCGUGGGGAGCAAACAGGAUUAGAAACCCUGGUAGUCC